UCCUUGCUAGCUUAAAUCUUUAGAGCAUCGGUCUGAAGCACCGGGGGUACUUUUGGUGGUAGGAG
rnacentral:tRNA from 1 species